AUUUAAUGGUUGAAUAAAAUAGAUCUAACCAUUUCUGAUUUGGCUAAGCAAAGUCAAGUCUGACAAUUUUGUUCCAUGAUAGCUAGCUGCUAUCAGGCAUUAACAUAGCACAAGGAGUCAAACAACAACUAAGCCAGUUCUGGAUGGAAAAGGAACUUUGACAUAGACUUUUAUGAAAACUUGUCUGAAUAGGGUGUACACUUCACUCUGAUGAUCGAACUUCUGAGAUCCACAAGUUUUCAGGACUUAUCUAUUGUCUUCCUUGUUGGGAGUUGACGGAACCAUACCCAGUGGAUGAAAGUCAUAUGGAACCACACUAAUCGUUGUUUUGUAGAUAUACUUUCAACAGAUCAGGACAUCCCAACCCCUUUUCUGAUGAUGUCACUGAUUGGACACAGACAACUGAAUGUGUGAGUACCAGCAACAUGUUCAAGAAGGAUUUCUACAACUACACUGGUGGAAUCUGUUUCAAAUCUUCCUGACCACUCACAUGGCAGAACGAUGCCAGGGUCAGAUCACUUGGCUUCACACUCCAUUUUCAGUCCGAAAGAGCUCCACACUCUACAGGUCAGAGUACUAUGGGCCAGUUGACUGGAAAGGUCACAUGGUCCCAACACAGUCGACGACACUGUUGUGGUGUUAAUCUUUAAUUAGUGAAGUGUUGGAAACUCACGGUUCCAUUAUACACCUACACUUACUUGUUAGGACAAUCAGGCAAUUUUCUGGGUCCACAUCCCACUGACUGCAAUAACUGAUUUUGGAACUUUCAUCACUGAUGCAAUACAAAGAACUGAAGACAAGAACUAAAGGAAGCUUGAUUGGAAACCAACUUCUUUACUAACAAUCUAAGAUUUUCCUAAAUGAACUGAUAUGUUGAUUUCAUAUGUAUGAAGAUUUGUUUCUCGCAAGACAGGGGAAACUCUGUAAAAUGACAAUCCCAAUAUUGGACUUUGGAAUAUUUUGUGAUGAUGCUUAAUGAUCUACAUCAUGGUAUGUUUGGACAGUGAAUUGUUCCCUAUUAUAGGUGGUUCCUGUCAAAGGUACAUGUUUUUUCUAAUUUAAAGGUAGAAUCUUUCACAGGUACAACAGGAUAUGCAUAAGUCUUUUGUAUGAUAUUGUCGCAUGGCUCAUGAUACGGACAAGGGUUUUUUUGAUUGUUCAAUGGACUUUGGGGGAAUGUUUCAUCAUGAUGUCAUGUUGAGUCUGAUUUUCUGCUGAACAUCGUUAACACUGAUAAUAACCUGUUGAUGUCAAAAUUCUUCUUGAUCUUAUAAACUGCGGUGGGGACGGGAUUGAUGACUGUUAUUCAUUGAGUUUUGUGUCGGAGUGUGGUGUGUAAAUUGUCUUGUUUACAUUCAUUUGAAUUUGAGGAACAAUAAGGCCUGAUUGGUCAGAUACUCCUUUGUUGUUUCAUCUUAGUCAUUUGUAACAUAAGUGUAUGGGCCUUUUCUUUUUAAUAGGAAUUUAAUUGUACUUGUAAUGUCUUAUCAAACAUGUUUUUCUUUAAAUGUUUGAUAGGGGGGAGUGUGGAAUCUGAGCAUUAACAAUUACAAUGAGAAUGUAUGUUUCAUUGGAAGUGGAUGUGCCUAGAUAAUGCGAACAACAGAAACCUCUCUGUUUAGAUUAUCUCUCUGUAGAUUGCGCUCUGAUAACCGCAGGAAUGUUUGCAUUGACCAUUUGGCAUGGGGGUUACCUGAUCUUUGCUAGGUUGACACACCCUUCAAUGGAUAUAUCAGCUUGUAACCAACACUACAGUGAGAAGAGAUUGAGUGAGAUGAGAUUGAGGUUGUGUAAGGAAGACCAGGUCCGUAACCUCAUGAACAAGACUUUCUAAUGCUGCAAUAAAUAAUUGAAUUACUCUCUCCC
ensembl:lncRNA